CUGAUCUAGCCAUGCCGCGUGUGUGAUGAAGGCCUUAGGGUCGUAAAGCACUUUCGCCAGAGAUGAUAAUGACAGUAUCUGGUAAAGAAACCCCGGCUAACUCCGUGCCAGCAGCCGCGGUAAUACGGAGGGGGUUAGCGUUGUUCGGAAUUACUGGGCGUAAAGCGCACGUAGGCGGACUGGAAAGUUGGGGGUGAAAUCCCAGGGCUCAACCCUGGAACUGCCUCCAAAACUAUCAGUCUAGAGUUCGAGAGAGGUGAGUGGAAUUCCGAGUGUAGAGGUGAAAUUCGUAGAUAUUCGGAGGAACACCAGUGGCGAAGGCGGCUCACUGGCUCGAUACUGACGCUGAGGUGCGAAAGUGUGGGGAGCAAACAGGAUUAGAUACCCUGGUAGUCCACACCGUAAACGAUGAAUGCCAGUCGUCGGGUUGCAUGCAAUUCGGUGACACACCUAACGGAUUAAGCAUUCCGCCUGGGGAGUCCGGUCGC
rnacentral:rRNA from 1 species